UACGUAGGGGGCUAGCGUUGUCCGGAUUUAUUGGGCGUAAAGAGCGUGUAGGCGGCCAGGUAGGUCUGGUGUGAAAACUCGAGGCUUAACCUCGAGAUGUCAUCGGAAACCAUCUGGCUAGAGUCCGGAAGAGGAGAGUGGAAUUCCUGGUGUAGCGGUGAAAUGCGCAGAUAUCAGGAAGAACACCAAUGGGGAAAGCAGCUCUCUGGGACGGUACUGACGCUGAGACGCGAAAGCGUGGGGAGCGAACAGG
rnacentral:rRNA from 1 species